rnacentral:rRNA from 1 species
ACUCCUACGGGAGGCAGCAGGUAUUCGGCAUGGCGGACCUGACCGAGCACGCCGCGUGAGUGAAGAAGGUUUUCGGAUCGUAAAGCUCUGUUGUUAGAGAAGAACGUGUGUGAGAGUGGAAAGUUCACACAGUGACGGUAACUAACCAGAAAGGGACGGCUAACUACGUGCCAGCAGCCGCGGUAAUA